rfam:Felis catus isolate Cinnamon breed Abyssinian chromosome D3, whole genome shotgun sequence.
GCCUGGGUGGCUCAGUUGGUUAGGCGGCUGACUUCGGCUCAGGGCAUGAACUCGCAGUUCGUGGGUUCGAGCCCCACAUCAGGCU